rnacentral:tRNA from 1 species
GCCGGGGUGGUGAAACUGGUAGACGCGCUGGACUCAAAAUCCAGUGGGAGCGAUCCUGUGCGGGUUCGAGUCCCGCCCCCGGCA